rnacentral:rRNA from 1 species
GAUGAACGCUGGCGGCGUGCUUAACACAUGCAAGUCGAACGAGAAAUGUAGACGGAAACCUUCGGGCGGAAGCCUUCAUUUCGAGUGGCGGACGGGUGAGUAACGCGUGGGUAACCUGCCUCAUACUGGGGGAUAACAGUUGGAAACGACUGUUAAUACCGCAUAAGACCACAGCAUCGCAUGAUGCGGGGGUAAAAACUCCGGUGGUAUGAGAUGGACCCGCGUUCGAUUAGCCAGUUGGCGGGGUAACGGCCCACCAAAGCGACGAUCGAUAGCCGAUCUGAGAGGAUGACCGGCCACAUUGGGACUGAGACACGGCCCAAACUCCUACGGGAGGCAGCAGUGGGGAAUAUUGCACAAUGGGGGAAACCCUGAUGCAGCGACGCCGCGUGAGUGAAGAAGUACUUCGGUAUGUAAAGCUCUAUCAGCAGGGAAGAAAAUGACGGUACCUGAGUAAGAAGCCCCGGCUAACUACGUG